rnacentral:rRNA from 1 species
UGGGGAAUAUUGCACAAUGGGCGAAAGCCUGAUGCAGCAACGCCGCGUGAGUGAUGAAGGUCUUCGGAUUGUAAAGCUCUGUCUUUUGGGACGAUAAUGACGGUACCAAAGGAGGAAGCCACGGCUAACUACGUGCCAGCAGCCGCGGUAAUACGUAGGUGGCGAGCGUUGUCCGGAUUUACUGGGCGUAAAGGGUGCGUAGGCGGAUGUUUAAGUGAGAUGUGAAAUACCCGGGCUUAACUUGGGUGCUGCAUUUCAAACUGGAUAUCUAGAGUGCAGGAGAGGAGAAUGGAAUUCCUAGUGUAGCGGUGAAAUGCGUAGAGAUUAGGAAGAACACCAGUGGCGAAGGCGAUUCUCUGGACUGUAACUGACGCUGAGGCACGAAAAGCGUGGGUAGCAAACAGGAUUAGAUACCCUGGUAGUCCACGCCGUAAACGAUGAGUACUAGGUGUAGGAGGUAUCGACCCCUUCUGUGCCGCAGUAAACACAUUAAAGUACUCCGCCUGGGAAGUACGAUCGCAAGAUUAAAAC